UACGUAGGGUGCGAGCGUUAAUCGGAAUUACUGGGCGUAAAGCGUGCGCAGGCGGUUUCGUAAGACAGAUGUGAAAUCCCCGGGCUUAACCUGGGAACUGCAUUUGUGACUGCGAGACUAGAGUGUAGCAGAGGGGGGUAGAAUUCCACGUGUAGCAGUGAAAUGCGUAGAGAUGUGGAGGAAUACCGAUGGCGAAGGCAGCCCCCUGGGCUAACACUGACGCUCAUGCACGAAAGCGUGGGGAGCAAACAGGAUUAGAUACCCGU
rnacentral:rRNA from 1 species